UGGCGGCAUGCCUUACACAUGCAAGUCGAACGGCAGCACGGGAGCAAUCCUGGUGGCGAGUGGCGAACGGGUGAGUAAUAUAUCGGAACGUGCCCAGUCGUGGGGGAUAACGUAGCGAAAGCUACGCUAAUACCGCAUACGAUCUACGGAUGAAAGCGGGGGACUCGUAAGGGCCUCGCGCGAUUGGAGCGGCCGAUAUCAGAUUAGGUUGUUGGUGAGGUAAAAGCUCACCAAGCCUGCGAUCUGUAGCUGGUCUGAGAGGACGACCAGCCACACUGGAACUGAGACACGGUCCAGACUCCUACGGGAGGCAGCAGUGGGGAAUUUUGGACAAUGGACGCAAGUCUGAUCCAGCAAUGCCGCGUGCAGGACGAAGGCCUUCGGGUUGUAAACUGCUUUUGUACGGAACGAAACGGUCUUCUUUAAUACAGAGGGCUAAUGACGGUACCGUAAGAAUAAGCACCGGCUAACUACGUGCCAGCAGCCGCGGUAAUACGUAGGGUGCGAGCGUUAAUCGGAAUUACUGGGCGUAAAGCGUGCGCAGGCGGUUAUAUAAGUCAGAUGUGAAAUCCCCGGGCUCAACCUGGGACCUGCAUUUGAGACUGUAUAGCUAGAGUACGGUAGAGGGGGAUGGAAUUCCGCGUGUAGCAGUGAAAUGCGUAGAUAUGCGGAGGAACACCGAUGGCGAAGGCAAUCCCCUGGACCUGUACUGACGCUCAUGCACGAAAGCGUGGGGAGCAAACAGGAUUAGAUACCCUGGUAGUCCACGCCCUAAACGAUGUCAACUGGUUGUUGGGUCUUCACUGACUCAGUAACGAAGCUAACGCGUGAAGUUGACCGCCUGGGGAGUACGGCCGCAAGGUUG
rnacentral:rRNA from 1 species